UCCCAAAAGUGUACAGUUCCCCCAUUGCUGCCAUCAAGACCAAGCGUACCAUCCAGUUUGUGGACUGGUGCCCCACUGGCUUCAGAGAUGGCAUUAAUUACC